rnacentral:rRNA from 1 species
UACAGAGGGUGCAAGCGUUAAUCGGAAUUACUGGGCGUAAAGCGUGCGCAGGCGGUUGUGUAAGACAGAUGUGAAAUCCCCGGGCUCAACCUGGGAACUGCAUUUGUGACUGCACAGCUGGAGUGCGGCAGAGGGGGAUGGAAUUCCGCGUGUAGCAGUGAAAUGCGUAGAUAUGCGGAGGAACACCGAUGGCGAAGGCAAUCCCCUGGGCCUGCACUGACGCUCAUGCACGAAAGCGUGGGGAGCAAACAGG